UACAGAGGGGGCAAGCGUUGUUCGGAAUUACUGGGCGUAAAGGGCGCGUAGGCGGCCGCCUAAGUCAGACGUGAAAUCCCUCGGCUCAACCGGGGAACUGCGUCUGAUACUGGGUGGCUUGAAUCCGGGAGAGGGAUGCGGAAUUCCAGGUGUAGCGGUGAAAUUCGUAGAUAUCGGGAGGAACACCAGUGGCGAAGGCGGCGACCUGGGCCAAUACUGACGCUGAGGUGCGAAAGCGUGGGGAGCAAACAGG
rnacentral:rRNA from 1 species